AUGGCGUACACGAAGUUGAGUGAGUUAACCACAAGACGACAGACAUGGAAUAUUAAAGCCAAAGUAAUUAGAAUGUGGGACUCGAUCAACCCUUCGACUGAUGAACUUGUAAGCAUCGAUAUGAUUUUGAUGGAUGAGCAGGGUCAUACGGUUCAAGCUACUAUCUGGAAGAAUCGUAUUGACACUAACAGAACAAAGAUCAACGAGGGUUCUAUAUAUGCUUUUAGCAAUUUUAAAGAGAUGGAAGGUGCAUCGGAUAAUUUUCCGGAUUACUACUUUGAGUUUGCUAGCAAAGAUACCCUACAAGAACGGCUAGAAAAGGACCAACAAUGCUCAGAUGUUAUUGGCUUACUUACCAAGAGUAAGCCAAUAGAAUCAAGGAUAACAAAGAAGAAAACACCUUUAGAUAUACGUGCAAUUGAAAUUCUAAUGCAAGAGCGUGAUAAAAUCAGAGUAUCAUUAUGGGGAAGAUUAGCUCAUCAUUUAAGUGAGGAUGUAAUUGGCAAUCAAACAAUUAUUAUUGUUACCUCAACAAUGGUGCAAAGAUUCAACGGUCUGUGCCUAAAGUCAACUAGCGCCACAAGAGUACAUACCAAUCUAGAUAUACCCGAGACUUGGGAACUUUGUGGCAGCCACUCCAUCGAAGAAACUUUACAAAAAAUGAUGGACAUAGAUAAGAUUACUCAAUGGACACUGGAAGAUCAAAUGUGUUACAGAAGGAUAACCUUAAGAGAACCUCCAAGACCUACAGAUGUGUUUGACAUAUUUAACUAUGCAGUAAAUAAAAUAUUCGUGCCUAAUGAAAAGCUUGAGAAGCGAUACUUAGAGGAUAAAGUUGAAGAGGAUUUGAUGGAUGAUGAAGUGGACGACAUGUUAAAACAAGAAACGAAGAAACUGAAUGAGCCAGUUAAAAAGGUACAAAUCAGUAAAUGUGAAUUUAGCAAAAACAUAUGUGAGUUGGUCCCUGUGAAAGAGGAGCCAGAAGAGAAAAGCAAUGGGAGUAUAAUACAUCAGAAGGAGCAUCAAUAUAAAAGCUCAUCAAGAAGUGUCGAUGGCGGGAAAAGGAGGCGAAGAUCUGUUGUAUUACCAGACUCGGAAGAUGAAGAAAAUGAAAAUAGUAGAUCUGAAAAAUCAGAAAAAGCAGUGCCCAAAACCAUAAGGAUGACAAGAAGUUUGACUAAAAAGUCUAACAACACCAAGACCAAAGGUACUGAUGUAAAAUUUGAGGACACAGGUCGUCAACUGGAAGAUCAACUAGCUCCACUAGGUCCUAGACUAGGCAACAUAGUUGAAGGCCAAACCUGCGCUGCUACUUGCGGCACUAAUGAAUCCGUCUUCCGCUCCUUUGUGUUUGUUGCGCCGCGCUGCUCCACGCAGGUCGACGGCUCCUUGGUUCACUUCGCGGCAGCUCAACUGUGCCGGCGUCUCCAUCCAGCCGCGCCACCGCGUGCCCUCCUUGCCACAAGAUAUUCAGUGGAUCCAGCGAGAAUCUUAGCCCAGCAGGUCGCUGCAAGCUAA
rnacentral:rRNA from 1 species